GGUGAAAGGUGUCUUGUGAAAGCCCUCGGCUCAACCGAGGAACUGCUUGGCAAACCAUCACCCUUGAGGCAGGUAGAGGCGACUGGAACGUUCGGUGGAGCGGUGAAAUGCGUAGAGAUCGAACGGAACACCAGUGGCGAAAGCGGGUCGCUGGGCCUGUCCUGACGCUGAGACGCGAAAGCGUAGGGAGCAAACAGGAUUAGAUACCCUGGUAGUCUACGCUGUAAACGAUGCGCACGUGGUACGGGAGUCUCUGACGGCAUCCGUGCCGAAGCGAAAGCGAUGAGUGCGCCGCCUGGGGAGUACGGCCGCAAGGCUAAAACUCAAAGGAAUUGACGGGGGCUCACACAAGCGGUGGAGCAUGUGGAUUAAUUCGAAGCAACGCGAAGAACCUUACCUGGGUUUGACAUGCACGGAUGCACCGGCGAAAGUCGGCUAUGCUGCCUUCGGGUGAAACGUGCACAGGUGCUGCAUGGCUGUCGUCAGCUCGUGCUGUGAAGUGUCGGGUUAAGUCCCUUAACGAGCGAAACCCCUAUCGCUAGUUGCCAUCGGUUCGGCCGGGAACUCUAGCGAGACUGCCGGCGUCAAGCCGGAGGAAGGUGGGGAUGACGUCAAGUCCUCAUGGCCUUUAUGCCCAGGGCGUCACACGUGCUACAAUGGCCGGUACAGAGCGACGCGAGACCGCGAGGUGGAGCAAAUCGCACAAAGCCGGCCCCAGUUCGGAUUGGAGUCUGCAAUUCGACUCCAUGA
rnacentral:rRNA from 1 species